GUCUAUGGCCAUGCCACCCUGAACAUGCUCAAUCCCAUCUGAUUUCGGAAGCUAAGCAGAGUCAGGCCUGCUCAAUCACAUCUGAUUUCGGAAGCUAAGCAGAGUCAGGCUUGGAUGGGAGACCACGUAGGAAGACCAGGUGCUGUAGGCA
rnacentral:rRNA from 1 species